AUGAGUCACCGUCGAAGCUUGGCCCGACAAUUUUACGAAGAUUCCUCCUCCGAAGAUGAGGAACUCAUGAUGGCUGCAAUCGUAGUAGAGGAAGAACAAGCCCAGUUGGAUGCUCCACGACAUGGAGGUUCACAACCAAGACGUCAAUCUCUUCAGUGCGAUUUUGCGGGAUGCUUCCAGAACCUCCACAAGGGCUACCUGUACCAUCACCACAAAGAUGUUUCAUAA
rnacentral:rRNA from 1 species